AUUGAACGCUGGCGGCAGGCUUAACACAUGCAAGUCGAGCGGAGAUGAGGUGCUUGCACCUUAUCUUAGCGGCGGACGGGUGAGUAAUGCUUAGGAAUCUGCCUAUUAGUGGGGGACAACAUUCCGAAAGGAAUGCUAAUACCGCAUACGUCCUACGGGAGAAAGCAGGGGAUCUUCGGACCUUGCGCUAAUAGAUGAGCCUAAGUCGGAUUAGCUAGUUGGUGGGGUAAAGGCCUACCAAGGCGACGAUCUGUAGCGGGGCUGAGAGGAUGAUCCGCCACACUGGGACUGAGACACGGCCCAGACUCCUACGUGAGGCAGCAGUGGGGAAUAUUGGACAAUGGGGGGAACCCUGAGCCAGCCAUGCCGCGUGUGUGAAGAAGGCCUUAUGGUUGUAAAGCACUUUAAGCGAGGAGGAGGCUACUGAGACUAAUACUCUUGGAUAGUGGACGUUACUCGCAGAAUAAGCACCGGCUAACUCUGUGCCAGCCGCCGCCGUAACAC
rnacentral:rRNA from 1 species